rnacentral:lncRNA from 1 species
GAAGCAUGGUUAUGUCCCCUGAAGCCCUGGUCCACAUGAAGCUCUUCCUGCUUUUCUUCAGAGGAAGAUGCAGGAGCUGGUUAAUGGAAUGGAUUUUGCAUUCAGACAUCUCUUGGGGCUGCCUGUAGGUGGAUAUGUUCAUGGAAGAUGGUGAAAAAGACAAGAAUAGGAUUUGCUGUAUAGAAUCACUAUAGUCACCAUCACACUGAGUGUCAACAACAUCUCUUGUUAUCCUCACAACUGUGCAAAACAGGUAAGGAGGAGAGUGUGACACCGUAUUAGUCCAUUCUCACACAGCUAUAAAAAAUACCUGAGACUAGGUAAUUUAUAAAGAAAAGAGGUUUAAUUGGCUCACAGUUCCACAGGCUGUACAGGAAGCAUGAUGCUGGCAUCUGCUUAGCUU